UAAGCGUGUAGGCUGGUUUUCCAGGCAAAUCCGGAAAAUCAAGGCUGAGGCGUGAUGACGAGGCACUACGGUGCUGAAGCAACAAAUGCCCUGCUUCCAGGAAAAGCCUCUAAGCAUCAGGUAACAUCAAAUCGUACCCCAAACCGACACAGGUGGUCAGGUAGAGAAUACCAAGGCGCUUGAGAGAACUCGGGUGAAGGAACUAGGCAAAAUGGUGCCGUAACUUCGGGAGAAGGCACGCUGAUAUGUAGGUGAAGUCCCUCGCGGAUGGAGCUGAAAUCAGUCGAAGAUACCAGCUGGCUGCAACUGUUUAUUAAAAACACAGCACUGUGCAAACACGAAAGUGGACGUAUACGGUGUGACGCCUGCCCGGUGC
rnacentral:rRNA from 1 species